AUGUCCCCCAAAGAUGUGAUUUCCUACACCCCUCCCCUCCCAGCCACCUCUUCUGGGCCCCUUUAAUCUGCAUGCUUGUUAGUCUGACAUCUCGUUUUACAAGUAAUGGGAACUGGUCUAGUGCUGUUCACCCUAUCAUGUGCUGUUUCUGUCUGUUAAGCACCUUAACCAUCCCUCUUGUUUGCGUUAUUAAUUUAUCUGCUAAAUGAGUAGUGUGAAGGUAAAUAUCACUCUUGCCCCAUGAGUGUAGGGCACACAGGUUUGCUUUUCCUGGAGCCUGUCUGCAGCCAGAGCCCACGAAGCCUUGUUCCUAGAAGUACGGCAAGGGACUCUGCCUGCUUUCUCUCUGGGCCAUGGCUGCAGACACCACAUGCAGGACCCCAGCUCCCCAGUCCCUUGCCUGCAGAGGGCAGAUCUGUGGCGUGGCCCAGAGCUCAGGACCUGUGAGCCUCCUUGGGGUGGCCCCUCCUGCCUGCCAUGGCCUGCGUGGCCUUCUUGCCCUAAUUUCCCUUCCUGUCUGUCUCUGCCUGAGCGGCAGGAGCCUGCAGCUUUAUAUACGCUGGGCAGUUGGUGACUCAUUCCUCGGCAGCGCCUCAGAUAGGGAAGUGAAACGGCUGCACCUGGUGAGGCCUGACCUUCGGGUGACAGCGGAAGUAGCUAUGCAAACAUGGGGCUCGCUGCCUCGGAGGGAGAAGUCCUCUGCACAGCCAGGCUGUGAGGAAAGCUCUUGCUGGCCUGGCCCCGUGUGGCCUCCAGGCCGGUGGCUCUGUCCCCAGGAUGUUCCUGUCACCCUCUACAGCGACGCUGAUGAAUGGGAGAUGUGGAAGUGCCGAUCCGACCCAGUUCUCCACAUUGACCUGCGGAGGUGGGCAGACCUCAUGCUGGUAUCUCCUCUCGAUGCCAACACGCUGGGAAAGGUGGCCAGUGGCAUCUGUGACAACUUGCUUACCUGUGUCAUCCGGGCCUGGGACCGCAGCAAGCCCCUGCUCUUCUGCCCGGCGAUGAACACCGCCAUGUGGGAGCACCCCAUCACCGAGCAGCAGGUGGGCCAGCUCAAGGCCUUCGGCUAUGUCGAGAUCCCCUGUGUGGCCAAGAAGCUGGUCUGUGGAGACCAAGGAAAAUGAAAUAUUCUGAAUUCUCAUCUUCUACAAUGAAAGCUAAAACAAACAAACAAAGACGUUUCCAGACUUCUUGUUUCCAUCUUCUUGAAAGAUGUCUAACGCUUUGGACAAAACAAUAAGAAAAUUAAAAGAUGGUGGAAUAGUAAUGAUUCAUAUCACUAUUGAAUCAUCCUUCCAGGCACCAUUCCAUCUCCCUCCAGCUCCAACUGCUCCUGCCCCACUGUUGGGAUCCCUCCGUUUGGAAGAGGAGACCCCAGCUGCUAUGCCGCAAGGAAGUCCAGGCGCACAGCAGCAUAGGUGGAGGUGCAGUGCCCACAGCCAGCAUCUGACUGCCACCACAUAAGAGACCCGAAAAGAGAACAGUCCAUCUUGAGUCCGGUCAAACUCCAGAACCCCAGGUGAAAGUAGGACUGGCGUCCGAAGGUCAUCUCUGCCCAGCAUCAGACCAAAGCACCACAGUCCCCUCAGGCUCUUCAGCGCUGGGCCUUACCUCCCUCUAGUGCCUCUUGGACCCAGGUGAGUGAUGGGUUUUCCUUCUCAAGGCCCAGACCUGCUUGCUGCUCAGGUGAAGCGUCUGGGGUUGAACCAACAGACCUUGCCCCUCCCGUGCUGCUCACCUUUCCAAGGGAGAACUGCUUCACAACCAGGCACAGGAAGGGCGAGGCUGUGUCAUGGAUGGGCACCGAUAGGGAAUGGGGUUCAGUGACACUGCACAGGGGAGGUGGUGGGGGCCAGAAGGGAUCUUCCUGAGCCCUGGGAUUCUAUAAGUGGGGCUGCUCUGGGUGUGAGAUGCAGGGGCCUAUUCAGAUGAGAUGCAAAUCAACCCUGUGGUGCCCCAGCCCACCCCAGGGCCUCCCUUCACCUUCCUCCUGCCUGACUGUUGCAGGGAAGCCGAGCUGGGGCUGAGCAGUCACUAAGGGGGCUGGGACCCUCAGCUUCACGCUGGGAGAGGUUCUUUCCUUCCUGCAGCCUCAGUUUGCCCACUUGAAUUAUGUCUAAGAGCUUGUUUCAAGUGAACUGAGGUCUAGGAGGCUGUCCAGCCAGGAAUGGGUUGGGGUGGAGUAGGGGAUGGGGAGGUCUUGGAGGCCAGAGAAAGUAGGAAGCCAUCUUGGCCUUGGGGUGUAACAUCCCAGCAAUGUGGCCAGCCAACUUCUGGCUCAAGGGUGAGAGGCGAUGAGCCUGAGGGUGGUCAUGAGGGUGGAGACAGCUUGUGCUAUUGAUAUGCAAAGGUCAGGAUGGUGGAAGCUGUAUACUCCAAGUGUAGGCAAUAAGGGGGGAGGGGGAUGUAUGCAGAGAACUUUAAAACAGUAACAGAAUAAAGUCUAUCCGCCUUUUAUUCUCCCAUGUGCUGGCAGUCCUAAACCCUGUCAGUGGCAAAAUACUCCCCUCUGAAAGUCUUUUAUUAGUUGAUGUUCUAAACAAUUAUUCCAAUUACUGUAAUUUUUAUAAUAAAUAAGAUUCAAAUUACCACUUUUACUGCAUAUUCAUUAAUAAAUGUUGGGUUCUACAGGAAAGCUCACUCAGAGAAUUCCCUGUUACACACAGGCCAGCCAAGCUCCAAGCACAGUUUCAUUUGUCAUUCCUCACCGGGCCACCCCAUCUCCAGUCCCUGCAGCACAAAUUCCUGCAUUUAAACAGUGGAUUCUAAAUAAGCAAGGACAGCGCAGUGAUUGUAAAGGCAAAGAAACAGAACUUGAGGGUUCUGUUUCAAUUCUGCCACGCUGUGUGACAGCUUGGAGGUUUUGUUUGUGAAAUUAGAGCCGAGUAGGAGGUGUAAUAUUUUUGUUUGAUAAAUGCAAAGGAGGGAAGUGUUAAAGAACGGUCCACCAUGAGUCCAAUGUGCUCAGUACGCCUCUGGCUCGUGCAGCUCUGCAGAGGGGGACCAGGCAAGAUCUCUACCCUGGGGGACCUUGACGUCAUGGGGCGGGCAGGGAAAAGGGUCAGCCUCCCUCGUAGAGGGAUGGCCUGGGGACUUUUGCAGCCCAGCAGGAGUGCCCCCUCCCCCCAUCCCAGCUUUAUUCACCUGUGGAUGAAGUUCCCUAGUGUAGCCUGCAGCCACCCCAUUGCCCCAGGUGGGAGGGGCGGAGGAUGGAAUGGCUCCAGUUUAGCGCUGAGCAAGCUCUGAUAAGGAGCAGAGGCCACCAGUGCCCCAAUCCUCAGCCAGGGACAAGAGUCUGGAAGGUGUCCUGAAAACCGACAGGUGCCCUCCAACCUAGGCCUGCAUCUCCCAUCCUCCCCGCCCUCUCUCCUGUAAUGAGUGGAGGGGUACAAACUCUACCACUGUGUCCUAAGGAUUAUUUUGAGCUGAAGAUAUCUGAGAAUCAACAGAUGCAGGAGGAGGCCUUUCUCUGAACUUCCCCUUAUCUGCCUAAAAGCAGAACCUCCCAAAAUAAUUCACAUGUCAUAAAUUCCCUCCUGGGAGUUUCACAACCAGAGAAGACGGACUCCGGUCACCUGAGACCCGGAUAAGAAUUCACCUAAACAGACCUUAUCACAACACCUCUCACAUCUCCCAGCUAUUCUCCUAAGGGCCCACUUAUCUUUCCUAAAAGCUGUUUGUUUUCCCAUAAGUGCCCUUUCUCCUCUUUCCCUAUUAAGGUGGUAUAUAAUAUCUGAUAAGGGGUUAAUAUCCAAAAUAUACAAAGAACUCAUACAACCCAAAGCAAACGGAAAAUACCAAACAGUCCAAUUUAAAAAUGGUCAGAAGAACUGAAUAGACAUUUUCCCAGAAAAGACAUACAAAUGGCCAAAAGGUACAUGAGAAGGUGCUUGGACAUCACUGAUCUUCAGGGAAGUGCAAAUCCAAAUCACAAUGAGAUAUCACCUCACAGUUGUUAGAAGGGCUGUCAUCAAAAAGACAAGAAA